UGAAGCAAGACGAUGUUUUUCUAUAUUUUCUCAUUGAGAAAUUAGUGUUAUAUGUAUAACAAUAAAUAAAAUUAUUGUAGAAACACUAUUGGUGAGAGGAAUUGUCUUAUGGAGAACUCAGUAGCCUUAAAAGGGAGAUUGGGAAUUCUUUUAAGAAUUCAAAGAGAACUAGAAUAAUGGAUCCCGUGGAAGAAAACACUGAUACUUCUUAUUCAGGUUGUGCAAUUUACUACAAAAAACUAAGCUAGCAAGGGUGUCAUUAGGGUUGGAGGUUUGUGUUGCUUUGAAGGCUAGGUUUCAAGGAUUUAGAAGAGUUGAAGAUCUUGGUUCAGGUUCUCAGCAUGCAGACCAUGCUUAGAUCGAUUCCCGAUCUUUAGUUCAGCAGAAUCAGUGGUGAGUCCUCAUUCACCGAGGACAAGAGUCAUGAGUUCAUUUCAGUCUUUUAGUCAUUUAGUUUCAGUUUUUGCUAGACUUGAAUGGGUCUUGUCCCAACAUUUUUAGUCAG